UGUGCGCCCCGACGGAGCCGGAACUCCUUUUGCGAGAGGCUAUGCCGAGCAAAAGAGUGGGAGGCGGAGGCGGAAAAGGCG
rnacentral:misc_RNA from 1 species